GACGAACGCUGGCGGCGUGCCUAAUACAUGCAAGUCGAGCGGACUGAUUAAGAGCUUGCUCUUAUGACGUUAGCGGCGGACGGGUGAGUAACACGUGGGCAACCUGCCCUGUAGAUCGGGAUAACACCGAGAAAUCGGUGCUAAUACCGGGUAAUAUCUGAGAUCACAUGAUCUUAGGUUAAAAGAUGGCUCCGGCUAUCACUACAGGAUGAGCCCGCGGCGCAUUAGCUAGUUGGUAAGGUAAUGGCUUACCAAGGCGACGAUGCGUAGCCGCCCUGAGAGGGUGUUCGGCCACACUGGGACUGAGACACGGCCCAGACUCCGACGGGAGGCAGCAGUAGAGAAUCUUCCGCAAUGGACGAAAGUCUGACGGAGCAACGCCGCGUGAGUGAUGAAGGGUUUCGGCUCGUAAAGCUCUGUUGUUAGGGAAGAAACAGUACCGAACGAACUAGGUCGGUACCUUGACGGUACCUAACCAGAAAGCCACGGCUAACUACGUG
rnacentral:rRNA from 1 species